rnacentral:rRNA from 1 species
GAUGAACGCUGGCGGCGUGCCUAAUACAUGCAAGUCGAGCGAAUUGACAGAGGUGCUUGCACCUCUCGAUUUUAGCGGCGGACGGGUGAGCAACACGUGGGUAACCUACCUAUAAGACUGGGGUAACUUCGGGAAACCGGAGCUAAUACCGGAUAAUAUUUAGCUUCGCAUGAAGCAAUAGUGAAAGACGGUUCUGCUGUCACUUAUAGAUGGACCUGCGGUGUAUUAGCUAGUUGGUGAGGUAACGGCUCACCAAGGCAACGAUACAUAGCCGACCUGAGAGGGUGAUCGGCCACACUGGGACUGAGACACGGCCCAGACUCCUACGGGAGGCAGCAGUAGGGAAUCUUCCGCAAUGGACGAAAGCCUGACGGAGCAACGCCGCGUGAGUGAAGAAGGUUUUCGGAUCGUAAAACUCUGUUGUAAGGGAAGAACAAGUACGUUAGUAACUGAACGUACCUUGACGGUACCUUACCAGAAAGCCACGGCUAACUACGUGCCAGCCGCCGCGGUAACAC